AUACGAAAGGUGCAAGCGUUGUUCGGAUUUACUGGGCGUAAAGAGAGUGUAGGUGGUUUAUUAAGUCGGAUGUGAAAUCCCGGGGCUCAACCUCGGAACUGCAUUCGAUACUGAUAGGCUCGAGUUUGGGAGGGGUAAGCGGAAUUCCGUGUAUAGCAGUGAAAUGCGUAGAUAUACGGAGGAACACCUGAGGCGAAGGCGGCUUACUGGACCAAUACUGACACUGAGACUCGAAAGCGUGGGUAGCAAACAGGAUUAGAAACCCUAGUAGUCC
rnacentral:rRNA from 1 species